rnacentral:tRNA from 1 species
GGUGGCGUAGCCAAGUGGUUAGGCAAUGGAUUGCAAAUCCAUGAACGCGGGUUCGAUUCCCGCCGCCACCU